NNNNNNNCCGCCCAAGAGUUCACAUCGACGGCGGUGUUUGGCACCUCGAUGUCGGCUCAUCACAUCCUGGGGCUGAAGCCGGUCCCAAGGGUAUGGCUGUUCGCCAUUUAAAGUGGUACGCGAGCUGGGUUUAGAACGUCGUGAGACAGUUC
rnacentral:ncRNA from 1 species